rnacentral:rRNA from 1 species
AAGGAAGGCAGCAGGCGCGCAAAUUACCCACUCCCGGCACGGGGAGGUAGUGACGAAAAAUAACGAUACGGGACUCAUCCGAGGCCCCGUAAUCGGAAUGAGUACACUCUAAACCCUUUAACGAGGAUCAAUUGGAGGGCAAGUCUGGUGCCAGCAGCCGCGGUAAUUCCAGCUCCAAUAGCGUAUAUUAAAGUUGUUGCGGUUAAAAAGCUCGUAGUCGAAUCUGUGUCUCGCGCCGUCUGUACAUCGCUCGCGGUGAAACGGACGCGCCGCGGGACGUCCUGCCGGUGGGCUUGCCUCCCUUCGGGGAGGCGGUCCAGAACACCCAUUUCGAUGUUCUUAACCGAGUGUCGGAUGGGCCGGCACGUUUACUUUGAACAAAUUAGAGUGCUUAAAGCAGGCUAAAACUUCGCCUGAAUAUUCUGUGCAUGGAAUAAUGGAAUAGGACCUCGGUUCUAUUUUGUUGGUUUUCGGAACCCCGAGGUAAUGAUUAAUAGGAACGGAUGGGGGCAUUCGUAUUGCGACGUUAGAGGUGAAAUUCUUGGAUCGUCGCAAGACGGACAGAAGCGAAAGCAUUUGCCAAAAACGUUUUCAUUGAUCAAGAACGAAAGUUAGAGGUUCGAAGGCGAUCAGAUACCGCCCUAGUUCUAACCAUAAACGAUGCCAGCUAGCGAUCCGCCGACGUUCCUCCGAUGACUCGGCGGGCAGCUUCCGGGAAACCAAAGCUUUUGGGUUCCGGGGGAAGUAUGGUUGCAAAGCUGAAACUUAAAGGAAUUGACGGAAGGGCACCACCAGGAGUGGAGCCUGCGGCUUAAUUUGACUCAACACGGGAAACCUCACCAGGCCCGGACACCGGAAGGAUUGACAGAUUGAGAGCUCUUUCUUGAUUCGGUGGGUGGUGGUGCAUGGCCGUUCUUAGUUGGUGGAGCGAUUUGUCUGGUUAAUUCCGAUAACGAACGAGACUCUAGCCUGCUAACUAGGCGUAUUUUCGACAUCUCAAGGCCACCGCGCCCGGCUUCGGUCGGUGUCGUGUGCGGCUCUUACUGUCGGCGUACAUUCAAUUCUUCUUAGAGGGACAGGCGGCUUCUAGCCGCACGAGAUUGAGCAAUAACAGGUCUGUGAUGCCCUUAGAUGUUCUGGGCCGCACGCGCGCUACACUGAAGGAAUCAGCGUGUCCUCCCUGGCCGAGAGGCCCGGGUAACCCGCUGAACCUCCUUCGUGCUAGGGAUUGGGGCUUGCAAUUGUUCCCCAUGAACGAGGAAUUCCCAGUAAGCGCGAGUCAUAAGCUCGCGUUGAUUACGUCCCUGCCCUUUGUACACACCGCCCGUCGCUACUACCGAUUGAAUGAUUUAGUGAGGUCUUCGGACCGGUACGCGGCGGCGCUCCGCGUCGCCGAUGUUGCUGGGAAGAUGACCAAA